rnacentral:rRNA from 1 species
UACGUAGGGCGCAAGCGUUUGUCCGGAAUUAUUGGGCGUAAAGAGCUCGUAGGCGGUUUGUCGCGUCUGUCGUGAAAGCCCACGGCUUAACCGUGGGUCUGCGGUGGAUACGGGCAGACUAGAGGCAGGUAGGGGAGAACGGAAUUCCCGGUGUAGCGGUGAAAUGCGCAGAUAUCGGGAGGAACACCAGUGGCGAAGGCGAUCAUCUGGGGUUGUUCUGACACUGAGGAGCGAAAGCUAGGGGAGCAAACGGG